rnacentral:rRNA from 1 species
GCCUGCCCUAUGAAUAAUUUAUUUUUAAAUGGCUGCGGUAUUUUGACCGUGCAAAGGUAGCAUAAUAAUUAGUUUCUUAAUUGGGAACUGGAAUGAAUGGUCGAACGAGAAAAAAACUGUCUCAAUUUAAUUUAAAUUAGAAUUUUAUUUUUAAGUAAGAAAGCUUAAAUAUUCUUAAAAGACGAGAAGACCCUAUAGAGUUUUAUAUUAGUUAUUUUAAUUGAAAGUUAAAGUAUUAUAGAUUUAGCUAAAUUAAUUAAUAUUUAGUUGGGGCGAUUAAAAAAUUCAAUAAACUUUUUUUAUAUAAAACCAUUGAUUUAUGAAUUGGUGAUCCAUAUUUUAUGAUUAAAAGAUU